rnacentral:rRNA from 1 species
UACGGGGGGGGUAAGCGUUGUUCGGAAUUACUGGGCGUAAAGCGCACGUAGGCGGAUUGUUAAGUGAGGGGUGAAAUCCCAGGGCUCAACCCUGGAACUGCCUUUCAUACUGGCAAUCUCGAGUCCGAGAGAGGUGAGUGGAAUUCCGAGUGUAGAGGUGAAAUUCGUAGAUAUUCGGAGGAACACCAGUGGCGAAGGCGGCUCACUGGCUCGGUACUGACGCUGAGGUGCGGAAGCGUGGGGAGCAAACAGG